GCUUCGAAGCUUUCGGCAAAAGCAUCAAAACAAUCACCAGUAACAACACAAAACUCCCUAACUGUUAAUCAACGUUGUAACAAACAACAAAAAUAAAUUUAUUUAAUUUCAUUCCCAUCCCGUGAUUCACAGUACACCCUCCACGGCCCAUAUACGUAGUGAUUGCCACCCUCCUGAUCAUCCAGCUCCAGGCGCGUUAUUGACUCCAGAUCACUUUCCAGCUCCUGCAAUUUGUAGCAGCGGGGUAUGCGCUCUGCCGGUGGAUUGGCCGGAUCCGGGAACGACUUGGCGGGUUCGGGGGGUUUGCGGGGGAUAUGGAAAUACGAUUUCCUGGCGGCAAUGGAGGCAUUGUCCACGCUGGAGAUCAAGGCGAUCAAGAGGCAGGUAACACCGGCGGCAGUGGAGAUGAGGAACAGCGACAUGAGCGGUUGCGCCACGCUGUCUUCAAAGUAGUGCUGGCGCGCCCACUGCGAACCCGCCAGGGCAAAGCUGGGCAGCGCCAGAUGGAGGAUCGUGUCCAUUUCGGUGUGGAGCCUGCGUAUGUCGAGGAUACUCUCUUUACAGGGAACCGGUCGAAGUAGCAGAGACUGCGUUAAAUCUGUAAUCACUGUACUAUUUUGCUGCUAAUACACAUAAUGUUCUUACUCUACCCAAGCGUACUCUGCCCAGAAAAGCGUCACAGCAUGCCGCUACGAUGUUUUCUCAAAAAAGGAUGUCUGUGACUUAUGACUCAUGAGCAUACUGCCAGAAACACGGAUCAUCUGUGUGCAACGCUGUUUUAAGUUGGACAGACUGCCGAAGACCCAACCAAGUGGCUAUCCAAUGAGCCAAAGGUUUGCUACAAAGGUCACACGAAAAUGAAUUGUGUACUCACUGUCAUGGCGCACCCUGAGCCCAUUGAGAUCGGCCAUAUAAUCGUCGUUCUGGUACUGCGAUAUCCUUAGUUGCUGUUGUCGUAUCUUGGAAUCACCGGACAUUAGACAAACACCCACAAAAGCGAACGAUGCCGCCAAUCCGCCGAUGAAGUAGCCAAUGAAAUCCCGGUAGGCAACACAGUACUGUGAAACGGUGCGGAGGUUGAAGUGCUGGCGAUUGACAAUCACAGGUGACGUCAUCGCACUGCACGGCACCCGACAAUCUCCUGCCUGCCUAAGAUCAUGUUGUCACGAUUUUCAUAUGAGGCAAUUCCACAAGCUGUCGCUUAAAAUCAUGUUGGCCGUAACGCCGAAUUAGAUCACUCUCCCGUGCAAAAGAUGGUAUGUUUGUCAAGGUUUGCUUUUAAAUGCAAACAAAUUUUGCAAUAUGUAUUGACUGUCAAUCUGUCAUCUAUGAAUUUUUUGAAUUGAUAUACAGGGCAGUAGACGGUUUGCGUUAACUUCAGUUGGCAAACAGCGCACCGCAGGGCGAAGAACACCCAGCUGGUUACCAUCAAUACAGACAAAUUUUUCCGUUGGCCACGUGGUAAACUUUAUGGCAUGCGCUUUCCGUCGUGAAAACCAUGUUUACAAUAGUAUACUAAUAAUAUAAUUAGAACAAUAAAUUGAUAUCAGUUGAGAGAAAAUAUUUUUAAUUAAUCAUGUGUUCGGUAUAAUUUUUGUACGUCUGAAUAUACAGAACCUACGUAAAUAAAAGAAAGAGUACCCACGUCAAUAAAAGAGAGAGAAGCGUAUCUCGUUCCUAUAGCAAUAGUAUCCGGCAAACAUCAAUGCCGCCUGGGAAAAUUUGGAAACUUAACGAAUUGUACACAGCCUGCACAAAAUUAUUUAUAUUUAAUUAAGUAGUACUACUGUUGUAUACAAGCACAGCACUGUAGUUCUAUCGGUAUGCGGUCAGUGCCUCAGGAUGCUGCACCAGCAUCAUCAGUGCCACACGCUGGACUUGCAGCACAUCAAGCAGUGCGGACUAAUUUCUCUGGGUGUGGCUAUUCAUGCCUAUUGGUUGUACAGCAUUUACCGCAACUACCCCACAUCCAUCUUCGGCAGUGGCCCGUCACUUCCACCGGCGACACCCGGUCGACCGUCACAGUCGGCUCCCGGCACGCCUGCCCCAUCCUGAUUGACAAAAGAUAAUUUUAUCUCAGUAGUUAGUGCUUGUCGUGUUUUUGACUUUUUUAGCCUGUCUUUCGAUAGCGGCUCCUUUAUUGUGCGUAAUCCAUAUCGUUACAAUAAUGUCAUACUUUCGGCGACCUACAUCUCUGGCUGUUUCGCUGGAAAGAGCGCACAAUAAAAGGGCAUAGCAGU